GUGCGAUGCAGCAGGACCGAGCCAACAAGCUAGUUGAUCAUUCGCUGAAUCUACCUCCUUGCUGAGGAAAGGAAACUCUGCCACACAGUGGGAUACAUUAUCUUUUGACCCUCGUGGUUACUGCUUCAGGGGAAAUGAAGACCUUUGCUCCUCAUGCAUGGGCUGAAGACUUGACUUCAUCUUAUAGUCGCUGCACGCUAAGGACAACCGAGAUGUGAUUCACCAUGUUUUCAGUGGGACUUAGAAAACGCCCUUCCAGCGUGUGCCAGAAUGUUCCGCAGCACCCAUGUGCAUGAGCGCACCAAGAGAUACCUCAGCCUCUGUAAGAGGUAAGGCCCUGUGUGCCUUGCUUGCUCGGUGCUGGGCUGAUUUACAGCUGCAAAGGCAGUCUCUUCAGCAGAAAAGAGAAGGACGUCAAUCCCCGGAAAGUAAGCUGUAAGUGAAAAUUGAAACUGUCAGGCCGCGUUUGUUGCUCACUCUGUCUCUUGCUCCGCCCCCUCCCCUCCGGCCUUAAUUUUAAUUAAAAGGGGGCAGCUUUUUGUCUGUGGAUGUAUAUGUUGAAUAAAUCACUAGUGAUCUUGAAAAGCUCUCCUCCCUUUUAUACUGUAACUGCGUUUUCACACACUGCAGGGGUCGGUCCGUCAGUCGGUAGUCGGUUGGUAUUUCUUCUUUCCCAUGGAUUUGGCUUUUCACUCACUCCUUCUUUCAAGCCAGAAAUCUGUCACCCAAUCAGCCAAGUUCUGUGUGGUACCAAGGCAAUGGGCUAGGAAAGUUCAGCACUAGGAUGGCCGUUAGAGCUGAUGAAAUAUGGGAGUGUGGAGCAAUGUUCCUUCACCUGCUUGGCAGGAGCAUUUCCCAGAAGGCCACCUGGAUUUUAAUGGAGUUGGAAGGGAUCUUGGAUAUGACACACUUCCUGUUCUAUGCAGAAUCUACAAGGCAAGCUGCACUUGCAGUGUCCCUAAGAGGAGGCCAUCCAACUUCUGUGUAGACAUUCUCCCACCUAGGUGUUGUCUCCUCCUAGGAUAAGGGAUUCCCAAAGCUACUUCCAUCAAAUCAUGGGAACUGUAGACCACACAGUUCAAUACCCUGUUUGAUGCCUGAAAACUACAACUGUCCCAUCUUUAACAGAUGGAUGGACCAUUGAUUCAAUCCCCAGCCUGCUCUAUCAUCAAUAUCCUUCUCCCAUUGUUCAAUUAAUGUCUAUCCUCCUGUGACUGAAGCCCAUGAGAUCUUGUGCUGCCAUUUGGGACAGCAGAGAGCAAAACCACCCCAUCUUCUGUUUAACAUAGAAACAUAGAGUGAGUCAGAAGGGGUCUCCCGGGCCAUCUAGUCUGACCCCCAGCUCCAGCUGGCUCUGCUCAUGACUCACCUACCAUGUGCAUGUCCAUCCUAUCCCUGAACAACCUCACCAACUGGACUUCAACCACCUCCCAACAUCAACUGGGGCACCUGAAGAGCAUUAGCACAUCUAGCGGUGGGUGAACUUAGCCGGACUGAAUUCAUUAUUUCUUCACAAAGUAACGCAUCCACCCAUGUGAGCUGAGCUGAGAGUUCUCCUUUAAUGCAAGAGCUCAUGGACUCAUGAAGGUAUAUGAAUUCAUGUCCACACGCAAUAGCCAAGUGCAUCUUGGGAAGUAGUAUAUGGAAUCACCUAGUAUGGCAUGGCUUCAUGCAGAAUGUGAUGCUGUGCCGUUCAUUGGUUGUCUUUGUGUGGAAUGUGAAAUUUACUCAGUGAUUUUAAUACAGAGAGGAGAAAAGAAAGAAGGUCUGUAGGGUCCUCCUCCUCCUCUCCUCGUUGAGCAGGAACUGCAGAGCUGAUGGCGAUGGAGGGAGAUGUGGUAGACAAACCAGCCAGAUCGGCACAACCUCAGGGCUGCCAUGGUUCGAAUGAACCCCAGAAUCCCAGAAGAGUUGGAAGGGGCCUAUAAAUCCAGCAAGAGUCCCACAGUUGAAGCUCUAAGGACCAGAGAUGUUUCUUCAUGAGCAGACCCUGUUGUCCAUCUGCCUUUCUUUCUGGACCAGGUUAUGGAGGUGGUAAGAAAACUGGCUCACUGCCCAUCAAGACAGCAAGGGGGUGCAAAGGAGAGAAGGUGGCCCAAGAGCAGCUCCUUGUAGGAGUGGGAGAACCAGGGAUGCUUAAAACGUUUAAAUAGUAAGCUGCUUGGGGCACAGACCUGCAGUGUUGUACCCUGUAAAGUGCUAGGCACACUGAAAGCUGUAUAAGAACAACUCUUCACCACAACUGGUCGGGAUUCAGAUGUCUUGCAAAACACAGCUGCAUCAUUAGUCCGCCGACCUCUUUGAUGUUUCAGCUCUACCUGUGUGCUUGGAUGCGUAGGAUAGCCUUCAUCUCCAUCUUCAUCUGGUUCCCUGGAAGCAAAUCCAACAUUUGACCAAAACAGUUGGGGUUAACAGAUUGACUAUGCCAGCAUCCACGCUCCAAAUCCCAGACUAGGUCCUGCCAAUUUUCUAUGCAAAUGAUCAAUCUAGGGCAAUUAGAGAAAAGGGCAUGUGGUACCUAAUUAAGCUCCAAGAAUGAUGAUCUUCAUUGAGGUUGGAUGUGAAUGACAUAAAUGUAGAUAAAUUCUAUGAAAUUAGAUGGAAGGUCUUUGGUUCAAGAAGAUGUAGUUGGCAGAGAAUCCAUUCCUCAUUUAGAACCCUCAGACCAAAAAAGUUUGAAAAUGGGAAGAGUAAAAUAUUGUAUAUAAAAUAUCACAAAACCUGUUUUAUGAUAUUCUAUAUUCUUGGUGUUUACAGUUGCUGUUUUGCUCCCUCCCUCCCUCCCUCCCUCCCUUCCAAUUGAUUGGUCAUUAAGUUUAAUCCAGAAUAGUUUAACUGAAGAGAAGCCCCUUCCCAGACUUGCAAUAGAAAUCAAACCGUCUUUCCAGAGUUACACAGAGAGGCUUUUCCUGCAACAGGAGGCAUGCAAACAAAUUCUGUACAGGAUGGCUUGCAAUGGGCAAACAAUUCAAUUUUGAAUUGGAGAUGGAUCUAGAGAUCUAUGAGAAUGCCAUUUCUGUUUGGAAAUCAUAUAAACAUCUCCCAUUCUCAACCCCAAACCAAGCAAGAACAUGAUUCUCUGGAAAGGUUCACCAUUUCAUGAACUCAGAUUCACUUUUAAGAGUGCAUAAAUUCCCCCCCCCAGUCCAAAAUCAACCAGGUGGGUUCUAGUCUGAGCUAUAAAGAUGGUACCCAUAUAAUGAAUCCCAUCUCCCUGCUGCCCAGAUCAGUUCAGCACCACAGACAGCUCCUGAAAUAGUUCAGACUGCGACCUGGAAUGGAUCCACUGGUCCACCGACCUGGGAGUUAGAAACAUAGAAACAUAGAAAACAGAGCAAGUCAGAAGGGGCCUCCCGGGCCAUCUAGUCUGACCUCCGGCACCAGCCGGCUCCACUCACGACAUGCCCACCAUGUGGAGUUACUCUUCUCCACUCAUUCUUACCAUUCUGGUUUGCUGAACCUGCCCUUGUCAUGAAGUCCAUCACAACUACAUGGCUUCUGUGGAUCUGGUCCAUACAAAGUUCUCCCAGAGCUGCCAGAAAAUAAAGGGAGGAGGCAGAGAAGGAAGACCUGAUUCCACCCCUUUGCAAAAUGCUCCUCGUUCAAUUUCCAGACUGUAAGCAUUUUACGAUGGUUUGGCCUCCUCUAGGUUAGGAUGGCUGGAUCCACACAUCAGGGUUAGCCAUUGACGACUAAUGACUAGAAAUGAAUGAGGCAAUAAGGGCAGCCCAACUCUGUAAAAGAGAAAGCUGAAAAAGACACCUUUUCAAAAAUAUUGCGAGUCUUCUGCAGCCUCAGAGCACAGUGCCACUCAGCAGCCAUUUGCAUUUCUUUCCAUUAAGUCUCCACACAGGGUCUUAUUAAAGGUUUAUUUUUACCUCGGCACAGAGAGGUUACCAGCAGACUUGCUCUUGUCUUGACGGCUUUGGCAUUUUGCUGGGCCGGCUCACGUGUGCAGGACUUCGUAUUUGGCCAAAAAUAAAACCUCCAGGAGGAGAGCAGGUCUGGUAAGUCACAGUGCCAGCCAAUUCUCUACACAGGGAGCUUGUGAAAGAGUGCAGCUCAGCCAUUGCUCCUCAUCUCCUGAAAUGAUUGAUGCUGUUCCUAAACAUGGAUGUCUCUUUGCCCUCCACUCUGUGAGGAGGAGGAGAGAUGGGUUCCUUCAUACUGGGGAUUUCUUUCUUGCUUACUGGGGAUUUCAUUAGGCUGCCUCAGCAUGGCAUUAUCAUUGUCAUGUCUGACAAAACUCACAUACCACACUAUGAGUUUCCUGAAGUAAGUUGUGUGCAUCCCUUGGAGGUAUUGGAAACUAUAAUGAGUGAUUUGGUUACUUACCAAAUCACAAUUUUAAGGUGGAAAUCCUGUACCAACUUCCCCCGGAGAAGGCUGCAUAUACUCAGUGGGGCCAGAUGGUGUGUUUGAGUUCUGCCUGCUGCUUUAAAAUAAACAAGUAAGUAUUAUUUGAUUGCACAUUUGUUGCUGUCAGUGUUUGUGAUAACAUUUUGUCUCCACCUCCCCCAUCUUUGGUGAACCAUCAGUGGAAAACAGUCUUGGAUGGAGAACAAAGAUGCUGAAGGGGUCUCAUUGGCGGAAACUUCCUGGCAGUCAGAUUGUUCAGCAGGGAAGCUGGCUACCUUGGGCAAUCGUAGAGUAGUCGGGUUGGAAGGGGCCAAGAAGGCCAUCGAAUCCAACCUCCUGCUGGUACAGGAUGGUAGGUGCACCAUCCCGCUUAGAUAACCAUCUCGCUGCUUCUUGAAUGUCUCUAGCAUGGAAGAGAUGAUGGACUCUUCUUCUUUGGAGGGAGUUAAGUGGAGGCUGGACAGAAAUGCAUUGCAGAUUCUACCACCACUGCGGGGAUGGACUGAAGGAGCUGCAAUUCUAAAAUGGAUGGCUACUUUAAAGAGGUAUGGAAAGUGCUGCUACACCACACAGUUAGAAGAAAGGUUGUUGUCAUUGCUGCUGCUGUUACGUGCUGCCCAAUCGCCUUUGAUUGUUGGCAACCCUAUAAAUGAACGUUCUCCAAGAUGUCAUCGCCUUCUCAGCUCUUGUACACUCAAGGCUGUGCCUUCCUUUGGGAAACCAAGCCAUCUCAUAGUUGCAUGUCAUCUUCCAGCUUCAACUUUCUCUCGCAUGAUUUCUCUCCAGGGAGUCUGGCCUUCUCAUGAUGUGCCCCAAGAAGGGCAGAUUAAGUUUCACCGGUUUUGCUUCCAGGGCAAGGUCUGAGUUGAUUUGAGCCAGGAGCCACUUGUGGAUCUUUCUGUUGGUCCAGCAUAUGAGUAAAGCUUUUCCCCAGUGCCAUUUCCUCAGAAUGCCAAAACUGUAACCCAGCCCCCACACCGCUCCCCCUUUCCCUGCCAAGGAAGUCUCUCUAAACUAAGAAGAAGCCAACUUUUCCAUUGCUGCCCUUCUGAACCUUCCAAGGUUCAUAGCCCAUAAAUAAAGCUUUUUGUAACUGAGAGUCUCAGCACGAGCCACAGUCACCAGGGCACAAAGCAGUGUCUAAUUUUUCAGCUUCCUGUACUGGGAUUCAAUUGUUUUCCACGGCCUUUUGUGCUCUUAGUUUAUGAAAAAUCAAUAGUUUAAUAUAGAAAAAGAAUCCCUCGGCUAUCUAUUUAGAGCUGUAUUGCCUCCAGCAAUAGCGUUGUGGUUGUUUCAGUCAGUGCAUUUAGAGAUACUGAGACAGACAGGCCAGCCUGAGGAUGUGAGGAGGAAAGAGGGUGUGAAAGACCUUGCUUCACGUCUCAGGCCGGCCACUGUUUGACAGGCCAACAGAGGGAGUCCUAGGCGCUCCUCCAGGGCCACCACCGCCACCAGGUCCUCACCUGGCCUCAAUCAGACCUGAGCCAGCAUGGCCACUUUCUAGGACAGCCGCGAUCUGAGAUCAGUCUUCAGACGAGCAAUGGAACCCCCAGUACAUUAGGAUAUCCAAUGUCAGUCUCCUUGUAAUAACCAGAAGCGGGACCCAGCGUUAAGAGUCAAGCAGCCUUGUGCAGAAGCUCAGUUUUCCUGAGCCUUUUAUCCUCCACUGAAAGUGCCUUUUGAUUUUCCGCAACUGUUGCAAGAUUCCUACAAAUGCGGCCACACUAUUGGGUGUGUGAGGUAUUUACAAUUUAAUGAAGCAGCUGAGUAAUGUAUGAGAAUGUCGCUUUGCCUUGCAAAUUGCUUUAAAAUACCCCAUUUAUUUAUUUAUUUAAAACAUUUUUAUGCCGCCCCCAUCGCAAUGAAGCCUUGGGGCAGCUCACAACAGAAACAAAAUACAUAAAUAAUAACAAUAUAACAAUUUAAAAGAUUGCAAUGUCGAACAAGAACACCAAUAGGACUUUGUUUUCUGGGGACAAGUUCCUAAUUCAUGAACUCGCCUUUGUGUUCACAAAGCGUGCAGAAAGCUCCAGCUUCCUCCGAGGAUUAUCCUUUCCAUGGCCUGUGCUUUAGUUCCAGAGAGAGAUUUGGAGAAUUUUGGAAAUUUGUACAAAUCGCGGGUCUUUUUGCAGAACUCUGCAAAGUGCUCAUUUUGCUCAACUUUCCCAUUAGUGCAAAAUGCACGGAGAGCACAAAUGCAUCCUAGAACCAGAACAGACAAGAAGCAAGCUCAUUUUGGAGUGCCAUGCUGAGUCUGAGCAACCCUAACUGAAUAUAGAAAAAUAGAAACAGAGCGAGUCAGAAGGGGCCUCCCGGUCCACAGUUGGGAUGAAGCUACUCGGGAACCAGAGGCCAUAGACGCUGCAGUAUGAAGAGCAGGAAGAGCCACUCAGAGCCAUCUUCUGUGAAGUGUCUUUCUGCUCCAUGUGCCGUGGUGCUAAUAGCAAGCAUGCAUGGUGGCAAAGCCGCCCCUUGGGUUGCCUCCAAGAUCCACUCUAGGAAGUUCCUUCAGUCCAGUUGUAGCAAUUCAUCCUCCUGUGAAACCCAUCUAUCUGAACUCCUUUUGCAACCAUGGAAAAUGUUUGGGGAACACAUCAGUGAAGUUGAUCCAGCGUAAAUAUAGACCCAAGCUCCAGUAUUUAUUCCUUUAAAACCCCAGACUUAGUUGCUCACCAAGCAGAGAAAGUUAACCUCUAAUCUGGUCCUUUCUGAUGCUCAAAGCAAUAGUGGCUAAAACAUAGGCCCAUUUCCAAGUUCCAGCUUUAAAGGAGGUACCGUCUGCUCAGAUCUCUCCCCCUCAAAGGAGAGUUGGCAGAUCUGGAAAUGUUAUCGACGGAGACAUUUGUAUUCCACAAGUAAAGAAAUAGAAUUCUGUGCCCAGGGCUAAGAUUAGCUGCUUACUUUAAAAAACCAGACGAGAAAGAGAGAGUGUAGGGUGAUUUUUCACUGUGAACUUCAGCAGAUGUACAGGAACUAGCUAACUUUUGUUUCAUGGAGGGCUGCCCAUGUUUACCGUGGCAUCCCGAGAAGCAGAAAUUGAUCAGGUGAAGCUUUUCCUGGCACAGAUGCUGUGAAAGGGCACUUCAUAGCCUCUGUUGGAUGGCGUUAUGUAUUUAGUGGCUAAAAAUAUUUUAUGCUGGCCUUCAUUUUACGGUACAUGCUUGGUUUACAAAAGUGUUUUAAUCCUAAAAUGGCAGAUAAUCAAAACAAAUAAAACAAACAAAUAAAUGAUCUGCCCCAGCAACUAAAAGCAAAGGGAGUCUGUUUUUAAAAAGUAAACCAGCCCUAGUUCUCACUUCCUAGGCUAAUAAGAACCCAGUGUUGCUUCUUAUUAGUGGUUAGAGGGCUAGAAGGGGACUCAGGAGAUCCGGGUUCUAGUCCCCACUCAGCUUUGAAGCUCCCUGGGUGAGUCAGUCACUCUCUCUCAGCCUGACCCACCUCGCAGGGUUGUUGUGAAGAUAAGAUGAUGAAGAAGCGGCCCAUGUAAGCCAAUCUGCUUCCUUGCAAGCAGAAAAUAUUGGGAUAUUAAUAGAAUGCAAUGAUGAUAAUAAGCAGGAUUCUCGGUGGUGUGAUGCUCUGAAACAUGAACAGAGAGCAUUUGUCCAUUCUUGGCUUCAUUUCUGUUGCUUUCCUAGUAUACUAAAAAAUGAUAUUUAAAUACUGGGUAUUCAACUGCUGCAGCUUCUGGUGGCCUCUUUUGCCAUUCUUUGGAUAUCCUGAACACUAUUUUACCCUGCCAAUAAGGUAUCAGUAGUUCCCAACAUGACUUUGGAUGUGUUAGGAUGUUAUAUUUUUCAUGUGGGUUUCUUUUUAAUGGUUCCUAGUUUAGUUUCUUUAAUCCUUUGGGUGAGACAGCAUGGACGGGUAUAACCCUUUUGGCACAACCCCAAAAGACGACCUACUGAAAAGGCGGAAGAGUCAGACUUGGUGUGAUAGAAAUUCCUGCUUCCAAAAUGCUGGCAUGGCCCAAGAGUUGAGUCCGGAACGACACCGAAAUGGCUGGGUGGUCACCGUCAUUUUCAAUCAGUGUGACGUCUACAUGGAAACCACAGGUUCACCGAUGAGAUGACGCAUCCACCUUCCAUAUUGGUCCUGGCAGCCUCUCGCAGCUGCAUCCGAUGCAAGCAGAACCCGUUUCUCCGCCAUCCCGACUCGAGCGCAGCUUGUGCAAACGGGCCGCCGAAGCUCCGCGGAAUGCAUCCAUAUCUGGAAAAGUCCGAGUUUUCAACUGCACACUGAUUUCCAAAUUGGAGGGCUAGAUUAGGUAAAUUCAUUAAAAAAAACAGAAACUUGAUGGAGCACAUGUCUCACCCACUCCUUGCUAGCAAUGCUUCUUUGAAGGCAAGAAGCUGUUUCACUUCCCUUCAAGCCCUUUCUGUAUCUCUGAUGGACAGAAUGAAAGACACCAGAGACCAACAUUGUGACUGCAAAGUGAAGAUAAAGAUAUUGCAACAAGGCAAGGACUAUCUUCAGUGCACGAACAGCCCAAAAGUCAAUCAAAGAGUGAUUAAUCCAUUGCACUAUUAACUUAACUCCCCUGGCCUGCCAGAUCCUUUCAGCCAACAGGAAAAGAAGCAGCCAAAGCAAAGCAAGAAAUCUUAACCUUUCAACUACCACAGUAAUCCUCAUAGCAAGCUCAGUCAAUUUAGGUCACUGGAAGAGAACUGGCUGAAAGAGGAUUUUGUAAAGCAAGGACUGAGUUACUGGAAUGCAGAAGCUCAAGAUCCUUUUCAUGCUAGCAUUCCUUUCUAUUUGGCAGAGGGUUGGUGGAAGUGUGAGUAUUUUGAGAGCAAAAAAUAGGGUAUUUAAAAAGUAUUCCCAUCCCAGGGACUCCCACCCCAUCGCCAAAAAAUCAAGACUUUCUCAUUUUCUCUGACUAGCCUUUUCUGAAGAUGUUUAGCCUUUCCAACCUGUGCCCCGGAUGAGUUGUGUUAAAAUUUGUACCAUCCCCAGAAGCAUGGCUGUGUGUCGUCCAAAACAUCUGGGGGGUGCAAGGUUGGGGAAGGUUGCUGUGCAUGCAAAACGUGUCUGGUUAUCCAGGAAUUAAGAGCCAGACUUUUAUGAGCAAGAUGCUCAAGGCAAAAGAUGCAAGGAUUUGUUAAAUCCAUUCCUUCUGGGUUUUGCAGAUUUGCAGGUGUUGUCUUCAGUUGUCUGCUCAUUGACUGUGUUGGAUUUUUCUCACUUUCCCGAAGUUGUAUUCACUUCAGAAGGUGUGCACUUGUGGAAGUGUUUACUUCUAAGGUGAGCUAAGCACCCCCUUGCAUAUUUUCAUUCCUAAACCUAUGGGAGAAAUGGGGGCUUUUAGUUGCUCUUUUUAUUUUAUUUUUUAUUAAUUUGUCUGAUGAAAUUUGCAUUAAUUCCAGAAAGCUGAAGUCUAAAACCCUGUGUGACUUGGGAAAAGCCAACCUGGUGUGGAAUCUUGGGGUUGCGCAUCCAGAGAUCUCACUCUGGGUUUCUCUGCUGUCCCCUUGCCAGGUUGGGGUGGGCGAAGGCCAAAUUCAGUCGCAAAGCAUAUCUUUGACUCUUAUUCCAGCGGCGGUUGCAGGCAAAGAGCCCAGAAUGUAGAACAUCUCAUCACUUCUUCCAUUGAUUAAGUCUUGCAAGUCACCACGUAGCCCAGUAAGAUGGACUGCGGGGGACAACCGAUCCCAAAAGCCAGGAAAACGCCAGGGAUGGGGCAAGGAGAAAGGGAUGUGGCCAGCUGCAGAGCUUGUGUCAUUAUGGAGCACCACCAUCUUCCGGGCCCUCUGCAAGGCAUGGCUUAACACAAACAGCUGAUUGUGAUGUGGAUCUCUCAGCUUCACACAGAAUUCUGGUGCAGUGGCCACUUGUACACUCCCGUGUUUGGAUGCUCAGGAAAGAGGGAAACCGGUUCCAGGAGGAAACCAGCUGACACUCUAAAUAUGAGUAAUUUCAUCUUCGUUCUUGGACAGUCCUAGUGCCCACAGGAGCACUAGCAACAAACGAAAGCUUCCAGUGCUAGAUUGUUGGGUGGGUUUUUUUUUUUAGUUUUUAGUUUUGCCUCUUAAAACAAGGAAAUAGUUUGAGGCCAUGUUUUAAUUAAAAUGAAUAUCUGUGCUAUCGUAAUGUUAUUGCCAGUUAAGUGUAGUGAGGUGAUUUAGCGUUCUAUAACACAAUUAUGUGCCAGUAAUGAAGCUCCGUAGAAUUAUCCUCGGAAUUUAGCAUGCAGAAGGGAGCCGUAGCUCUCAUUUGUAUCCAUGUUACAGGCUUUUAUUGUUGCAGUAUUUUCUAUUUCCCUCCAAGAUUAACUCAAUCGUAUUUAAGUCUCUAGUUACAUUACAGAGAAAUCCAGUAAGGAGGACUGCUGGAAAUGUUUUCCUCUCUUGCAAAGCUUUGAAAUGUUAUUUGCUAAAUAGGGAAGUGAGAUUCCACCUCUGCUGCAGCUAAUGACACCGUUAAUACAGAGAACCCAUCCUGAAGAAUAAAAGGAUAAGUGAAAAUACAAACAUCCCCCACCCUUUUUGGCAGUUCAGGGUUAAGGGAAGCUGAAAAUUUAGGACGCUGGGUUCUUCCUUAGAACAAUCGCCUUUUUUUCUUUCUUUUUUUGUUUUUGACUGCCACAUAGUGGGCAGGAAGCAUCACCCUCACUCUGUUUUGGCUUCAAAUGUUAUCACAUAGCAAAAUUGCAUUUGCUGCUACCUCAUCUUGAAGCCAGUUUGGAGUGAGAGCAAAGCCUCCUGCUCUUACACGGGCCUUUUGUGAGUAAAUAAUAAAAUAAUAUAAAUAAGAAUAUAGCACUUGAUAACAGUACAACUGCCUCUGCUUCAGGGAACAUAAGUAGCCAGCAAGUGCCCAGUGAAACAUUUCAAUCAUGAAAUCUUUUCCCCACACAUCCAAUGCUCCUAGCAAAAAAGUUUUACCAGGAAUGUUCAACUCAGCUCCAGAGCACACCGAAAAAAUAUAUUGGUGCGUUAGGGAGAAAGGGAUCAGACAUUCCUUGGGUCUGAAGUACAAAGAGACAUACCUGUCUUGCUGAUGCUAUUUUCGUUGUCAAGGCCUGUGCACCAAGUCCAGGAAUGCCAGGAAUUCCUUCUUUGCAUGAAGUAUGAAACUUGUGCGACUCUUUCUGCAAAGGACACAAGGCCCGGAAGUCAUGAGUGUAGAAGCAGAGCUUCACUUGCGCAAUGCGUGUGUGCAUAGCAGGUAGCACAAGCUGACCCCACUGGCUCUCUUGGACUCACUUUGCCCGUACAAACACACAGUGUGCAGGAACUUGGAGCGGAGAAAAUGUGGGUCAAACUCCAAGGAGCUGAGCUGAGAAAAUCCGACAGGCUCCCACCCCGAGACUGGAUUCCUUACACAUCAGCAGCACGCGGUUCCUCUGCUGAUCUUGCAGAGAUCACCACGAAGCAGCCAAACAGGGACUUGGCUCUGCAUUUGACUGGCAGAACUGAACCAUGCAGUCUCCUCAUUGCACCUGUUCUGUUUUCUGGGGUGAUGUCUGAAACUCUGAAGACCCAUAACUGAUCAGUACUGUUGGAUAACUUGAGCAAGUGGACUCAGAGGUAGGAAUGGAGAAAUUUGUUGAUCACCCCAUAAACAUUUUUGGCAAAGUUGAAGCUGUCCAUUUCUUCCUAGUGAUCAAAGAUGGGCCUUGCCCUUCCGUCUACAUUCAUUCUUGAUGGAACAGCCCAAGGAGAAGUUGACUUGAAGGGUUAACUUUUACUUCCUGCUUCAAUUUCUGCACUGCACAUCAUGAACUUCAUAGUCAUUUCCACAUUCAGUUUCUUCUUUGUGUCUUUUUUUUUAAACAGAAGUGCAGAGGAAAACCUAUUUGCUUCUGGCAGAGUUCCUAUGUAGGUGGAAUUGUCACAUAUUAAAUUUGCUUUCAGUCAAUGGGGGAAAAUAACCUCAUAAAAAGAAUGAAAAGCAUCUUUAGAAAAAAAAACCUCCAAGUUCGAACAAUUCUUCCUUAAUAAUAAAGCUUUAGCAUUGCAAAACAGGUUGACUUCUGUCUUGAAUGAAAAGGAAGAGAAAGCAGGGCUAAGUUCUUAAGGAAAAAACUUAUUGGCUUCUUGAGGAAACUUUAAGGAGUGGGAUAAAAGGGGGAGAAGACCACAGCAAAAAAAAUCUAUGAAGUAGUAAGACAGGACGAGCCUUUCAACCAUUCUUUCAUGUGAGUUUGCUCUCCCUGAACAUAAAGAUUCAGUUUAAAUGCUUCUGUCUCCAUGAAUUACGCCUAAUACUCAUUUAGUCCUAUUUAAGCCACUGGCCAUGAAUGCAUCUUGUGGCUUUGAAAUCUAUAACUAAAUUCUGAACUGAGUAAACGGAUACUUUUUGUCUGUCCUAAAGUACUGCCCAUCAGUUUCAUUGGGAGAGUCAACUUCUAUUCAGGUGCUCUGGAGCUGAGCUAGCCGUACUUUGUAAAGACUCAUUUCCACCACCUUCUACAUGUGGACGGUGACCUUAUGAAUGAGAGAGUUUCCUAUAUCCCAGGAGGGCCUCUUCAUGAUGUUAGAUACUGAUAUUUCACUGCUCCAUGAGUGUCGUUGUAAAGCCUCUUUCCACGGAGUGGCGGAAAUGUGUGAAGAGAAGAAAGGGUACUAUUUUGCCUCUACUCACACAUCUAACCUGCAGAGUUUCUGGAUGCCUGAUUGCAACCUCCGAGUUCUAGUGAAGUGGCCAUGAUGGGAAUAUACUGCUACACUUUUCUCCCACACAAAGUAAAAUUUUAUGAGCAUCUUCCACAAGGACCUCCCUCUGACAGAGGACUCCAGUGCCCAUCAGCCCAGCCAACAUGGACAGGGAAAAUGGAAAUGUCAUCCCAACAACCUGGAGUUUCCCUACUCCUGCUCAAUUCUGUUCUACACAAGUUGCCUUCGACAGUGACCGCUAAACGAAAGCCGUUCAGUGCAGAGACGCACAGCCAUCAAACCUGCUUCGGCAUCUCAGCAGAACAGGAGCUGUUGGGGUUGCAUUUUUAUUCCUUUUGUAUAAACAAGGAGGAAGAUAAGCUAUGACAGUGUUAUGAUGCCUUGAAGCUUGCAGGCAAAGAGUUUUCAUUUUUUUUAAUUUCUCCCAUUUAGCUUAAUUUAAAUUUUACUUAGAGGUAAUUGGAAUGAAUUAAUAGACUGACAAUUACACCAAAAAUAUAUCCAUUAAAUGUGUAGAAAAUCUAGUAAUAUGGGAGCAAUUUCAUGGACAGAUAACAAAAUAAACUGAAUACUACUAGCACCACCACAACUACUAAUAAUAGCAAUACUAAUGAUAAUAAUAAAUCUAUUAAUGAAUGUAAGCUGCUAUUUAUGAGAGAUUAUUCCAGAGGAAGAUAACCUCCUUUUAUUUUAUUGAUGAGCAGAGUUGAAACGUUGAUCCCUAAUGAGGCAUGGAUUCCAAUAUCACUCCACACUGGAAAUCCUGUGCAUUAUUUUCUGCGUGGCUGCCCUACAUGUCCAUUUGACGCAGUGCUGCUUUUCAGAACAGCUGCCGUGAUCAUGGCUGGAACUGGGCAGAGCUACAGGUGCUCUGCAUGGGUGAGCAUGGAACAGGUGCCAGGUUCAAGCCUCAGAGUCUCUCCUUAGGACUAGGAAGACAUCCCAGGAUCCUGCUGCCAGUCAGUGUUUACAGCACUGGGCUGAAGGCACCAACGGCUCGACUCCACAUCGGGCGGUAUUUGGUGCUCCUUUGCCCAGAGCUGCAAGACUGAUGGAGAUUGAGGAAAACUGAGGACCAGCAGUCACAGAUGGCAUAUAUAAAGCUCUCACUCCCCUCUAUUUGAUCCUCACAUCAACAACCUUCUGAAGUACGCUUGGAGCCAGCAACUGGCCAGAAUUUACCCAUUGCAUUCCAUGACUCAGUAGGGACUUGAACCUGUGGGGUCAAGGACUUGCUAAUUUUCUGCGUUGAGGGAUUCAGGCUACGGAGUCCAUCACCUAGCCAAUAAGCUCUUGCUAAGCGGUUAUGAAGGGAAGUCAGAAUGAAGGCAGCGCCUCCUGCCCUUUCUCUGAAACAGCUUCAUGAUGUCAUCAUGUGGAAACGCCUGGUUUUGUGAUGAUGCAGUGAAGCCGUGGCAGCAAUGAAAUUCCAAAUGAGCUUGGACCCCACCUGGAAUGAACUCAUGUUUCUUAAUGGCACUCAAAACUGGAUCAAAGGAAAAAAGCCAUUCCAAAUAAGGAGUGAGCUAGCCACAUGCAAGAAAGAGUAAGCAAAAGGGUUUCUGAUUUGUGAACGCUACCAAGCUGUUUACUUUUCUACAAUAUCUUCCAUGGGUGUAUAUUUGGCUUGGUAAAGCCCACAUUCCUCCAUUCCAAAUAGUAAUCUUUGCACCAAUGAGCAAGUUCCACGUGAUGGGAAAAAUUCAGAGCAGCCAAUCUCUUGUUUAUGGACUUUGGCUGUUCAGCCAUCCUCAUUCUUGCAACAGCUUCUUUAUUUAAUCUGCUAUAUGACUACCAUUGUUCUAUAGAAGAUCUUCCAGUGAGGAAGCAGGUAGGUCUUCUCAGAGCUGGGGUCUGUUAAUUCUUGGCUUCAAACCAUUGAACCAAGAACCAAAGUUCAGGCUAUGAAAUGAUUCACAACUAAACACCGAGUUCCAUCACAUUUUAAGCACUUUCUACAGCAUAAAAAUCUCCUGCCUUCAAGCUUUUUGGCUAAGACUUUGAAUACUGAUAGCUUUCUAUGCAUUAUUAACUUAAUUGUACCAAACAUACAUUCUGGAAUUCUCAUUAAUAUGUUCUUGUUUGAAAAAAGGAGGAGAAAAAAGACCAUCUUUAUCCUUGAGCAGUGAACUGAAUGUUCAGCUUCAUAAAAAUGGACUACUUUUAAUGAGAGAAGCCAAUUCCUUCCAGAUCAUGAGGUAAAUUUCUAGCCAGCAGUUUCCUGCUCAAUUCAGGCACAAGACGAAAUUUGCUGAUGGCAAGAGUUGCAGGCUGCAGAGCUACUGUUUUGCAUUCAGGACGAUUCUCCGAUUGUGCCUUGUUUCUCCUGUGGUAUGUGGAUAUAGGGAAAUAUUUAAAGAAAAGAUCAAACCUACUUCAGGAUGUGAUGUUAAAAUAUUAAUCCCCCACCUCUCUCUCUCUCUCACACACACACACAGCACAGAAUUUUAACUAUCACUUUUAUAAUAGAUUUUAGGAGCGAAUUUUGUGAUUAUAACACAAUAAGCUGUGAUGUGCUAGACACCGAACACAACAUUGGAGGCCUUCCUUCAAGUCUCUCCUAUGAUGGAGGCUUGGGUGGUAGCGACAAGGAAGUGGGGGGGGCUUCUCUAUGGCAGCCCCCAAAUUACGGGAUGAUCUCCCCAGGGAGACCCUCCUGGUGCCAACUCUUUCAGCACCACCCUCCAAGCCAAGGCAUUUAGCAACUCUAAAUCAAGGGACAGGGUAAGUUCUGGCAGAUGUUGCAAAGACCUAGCUGUAUGAACUGAUUUAGCUGAUUAAAAAUAGGGUGGAUCUAUGAAUUGUAGCACAUUUUCCAGAGACUGUUAACCAUUGGGUGGUAUAGAAAUAAAAUGAUGAAUGUACGAGAGAACAAAAUAAGCAAAAGAAAAUGUUUGUGCAGCAGACUUGGACAGAAGAGCUGAUGUUUACUUUGGAUCAGCUUGUCGAUUCUGAUUAUAAUUUUUUGCCAUUCUCCGCUUUGCAGGCUAAAUAUAAAUGGCCGAGCUACGGCUGCAGGGCAAUGCUUGCAACUGGAACAUUUGUGAAGAUCUGGGUUUGGUCCUGCUGCUCUUCACGCUUCUAAGCCUGCUAUGCUAUUGGAAGAUCCGACUGAGGCUAAACAACGGCAUCAGCCUACAGUUCAUGUGCAUAAAUACCUAUUAUCGCUGAAUAAACAUGCUACACGGGAUCUCCACCAAGAACGGGACAAUGAACUGGGACACGCCGUCAGUGGAGUGCUUGAUAUUUAUUUUGAAAGGGCUCAGGGCUCUUGGGUUCAAAGUAGUUCAGCUGAAAUUGAUGUUUCAAGUUUGGCAUGUCUCUUUGAUAAGGACUUAAUUAAAUCAGCAGGUUGUUGGAGGUACAA